rnacentral:rRNA from 1 species
GACGAACCGAGCGAACGUUGUUCGGAAUCACUGGGCUUAAAGGGCGCGUAGGCGGGCUGCCGCGUCCGGGGUGAAAUCCCACGGCUUAACCGUGGAACUGCCUCGGAUACGGGCGGCCUCGAGGGGGUAGGGGCAUGCGGAACUGUGAGUGGAGCGGUGAAAUGCGUUGAUAUUCACAGGAACUCCGGUGGCGAAGGCGGCGUGCUGGACCCCAUCUGACGCUGAGGCGCGAAAGCCAGGGGAGCAAACGGG